CGGCUCUUCGGAGCAGUUGGCGGACGGGUGAGUAACGCGCUGGGAAUGUGCCCUUUGGUACGGAACAACACAGGGAAACUUGUGCUAAUACCGUAUGUGCCCUUCGGGGGAAAGAUUUAUCGCCAUUGGAGCAGCCCGCGUUGGAUUAGGUAGUUGGUGAGGUAAAGGCUCACCAAGCCGACGAUCCAUAGCUGGUCUGAGAGGAUGAUCAGCCACACUGGGACUGAGACACGGCCCAGACUCCUACGGGAGGCAGCAGUAGGGAAUCUUGCGCAAUGGGCGAAAGCCUGACGCAGCCAUGCCGCGUGUAUGAUGAAGGUCUUAGGAUUGUAAAAUACUUUCACCGGGGAAGAUAAUGACGGUACCCGGAGAGGAAGCCCCGGCUAACUUCGUGCCAGCAGCCGCGGUAAUACGAAGGGGGCUAGCGUUGCUCGGAAUUACUGGGCGUAAAGGGCGCGUAGGCGGACAGUUUAGUCAGAGGUGAAAGCCCAGGGCUCAACCUUGGAAUUGCCUUUGAUACUGGCUGUCUUGAGUUCGGGAGAGGUGAGUGGAAUGCCGAGUGUAGAGGUGAAAUUCGUAGAUAUUCGGCGGAACACCAGUGGCGAAGGCGACUCACUGGCCCGAUACUGACGCUGAGGCGCGAAAGCGUGGGGAGCAAACAGGAUUAGGUACCCUGGUAGUCCACGCCGUAAACGAUGAGUGCUAGUUGUCGGCAUGCAUGCAUGUCGGUGACGCAGCUAACGCAUUAAGCACUCCGCCUGGGGAGUACGGUCGCAAGAUUAAAACUCAAAGGAAUUG
rnacentral:rRNA from 1 species